rnacentral:tRNA from 3 species
GGGAGCGUGGCCUAGCAUGGAAUGGCACCAGUCUCGGGCACUGGAGGUCGUGGGUUCAAAUCCCACCGCUCCCA